rnacentral:rRNA from 1 species
UACGUAGGGUGCAAGCGUUGUCCGGAAUUAUUGGGCGUAAAGCGCUCGUAGGCGGUUUGUUAAGUCGGCUGUGAAAUCCCGGGGCUCAACCUCGGGUCUGCAGUCGAUACGAGCAAACUAGAGUGUUGCAGGGGAGACUGGAAUUCCUGGUGUAGCGGUGAAAUGCGCAGAUAUCAGGAGGAACACCAAUGGCGAAGGCAGCACUCUGGGACGUGACUGACGCUGAUACGCGAAAGCGUGGGGAGCAAACAGG